rnacentral:rRNA from 1 species
AUGCUUGGGAACUUGCCUUUAGGUGGGGGAUAACAGUUGGAAACGACUGCUAAUACCGCAUAAUGUCUACGGACCAAAGGGGGCUUCGGCUCCCGCCUUGAGAGAGGCCCAAGUGAGAUUAGCUAGUUGGUGGGGUAAAGGCCUACCAAGGCAACGAUCUCUAGCUGUUCUGAGAGGAAGAUCAGCCACACUGGGACUGAGACACGGCCCAGACUCCUACGGGAGGCAGCAGUGGGGAAUAUUGCACAAUGGGGGAAACCCUGAUGCAGCCAUGCCGCGUGUGUGAAGAAGGCCUUCGGGUUGUAAAGCACUUUCAGUUGUGAGGAAAGGUUGGUAGUUAAUACCUGCCAGCUGUGACGUUAACAACAGAAGAAGCACCGGCUAACUCCGUGCCAGCAGCCGCGGUAAUACGGAGGGUGCGAGCGUUAAUCGGAAUUACUGGGCGUAAAGCGCACGCAGGCGGCUUGUUAAGCUAGAGGUGAAAGCCCCGCGCUCAACGUGGGAACUGCCUUUAGAACUGGCAGGCUAGAGUCUUGGAGAGGGGAGUGGAAUUCCAGGUGUAGCGGUGAAAUGCGUAGAUAUCUGGAGGAACAUCAGUGGCGAAGGCGGCUCCCUGGCCAAAGACUGACGCUCAUGUGCGAAAGUGUGGGUAGCGAACAGGAUUAGAUACCCUGGUAGUCCACACCGUAAACGCUGUCUACUAGCUGUUUGUGUAUUUAAUACGUGAGUAGCGAAGCUAACGCGCUAAGUAGACCGCC